rnacentral:rRNA from 1 species
UACGUAGGGAGCAAGCGUUGUUCGGAGUUACUGGGCGUAAAGGGUGCGUAGGCGGCCUUAUAAGUCUGGUGUGAAAUCUCCCGGCUUAACUGGGAGGGUGCGCUAUAGACUGUGGGGCUAGAGUGUGGGAGAGGAAAGUGGAAUUCCUGGUGUAGCGGUGAAAUGCGUAGAUAUCAGGAGGAACACCGGUGGUGUAAACGGCUUUCUGGACCAUAACUGACGCUGAGGCACGAAAGCGUGGGUAGCAAACAGG